rnacentral:rRNA from 1 species
UACGUAGGGUGCGAGCGUUAAUCGGAAUUACUGGGCGUAAAGCGUGCGCAGGCGGUUCGUUGUGUCGGCGGUGAAAGCCCCGGGCUUAACCUGGGAAUGGCCGUCGAAACUGGCGAACUGGAGUGUGGCAGAGGGGGGUGGAAUUCCGCGUGUAGCAGUGAAAUGCGUAGAGAUGCGGAGGAACACCGACGGCGAAGGCAGCCCCCUGGGCUGACACUGACGCUCAGGCACGAAAGCGUGGGGAGCAAACAGG